rnacentral:rRNA from 1 species
UACGUAGGGUGCAAGCGUUAAUCGGAAUUACUGGGCGUAAAGCGUGCGCAGGCGGCUUUGCAAGACAGAUGUGAAAUCCCCGGGCUCAACCUGGGAACUGCAUUUGUGACUGCAAGGCUAGAGUACGGUAGAGGGGGAUGGAAUUCCGCGUGUAGCAGUGAAAAGCGUAGAUAUGCGGAGGAACACCGAUGGCGAAGGCAAUCCCCUGGACCUGUACUGACGCUCAUGCACGAAAGCGUGGGGAGCAAACAGG